UCUAUGGGCAGUCUUUAAUUAAGGCUAGGGAGAGUGGAAAUUUCUGUGGGUAGUCUUUAAUUAAGGCUAGGGGGGAAUGGAAAAUUCUGUGGGUAGUCUUUAAGGUUAGGGGGAGUGGAAAGUUCAGUAGGGAGUCUGUUAGGUUAGGGGGAGUGGAAAGUUCUGUGGGUAGUCAGUCGUGUCAGAUGGAGAAGGAACCUCUGUGGGCAGUAUGAAUAUUAAAAUUUGUUUUUCAUGUUCAGUGAUAACUCUCUUCUUCCUAUAGUGAAUACUUAUAGAUAUAAAUUAUAAACCCACUAUUUUAUCUACCAUCCAUUGUUUACUACAGGGAUGUUAUUUUUACUUCAAAUGUUGCAUGUUUUUGUUUUUUACUUCACACCACCUGAAUUUUAAAAAAAACAACUAUUCAUUCACUCCUGUCUAGCAAAACUUCCUAUUACAAGGGAGGCUAAUAUUGCUGCCAGUCAUAGUUCUUGUCAAAGCAUAAAAGAGAAUAAAAAACUCAUACAUUUUUUAAAGAAAAAAAAAUGAGAAUCAAUUAGUGCCAUAAUGUUUUGUUUCACUAGAAUUGUCAACUGAUGCAAUUGUACUUUUUAUUAAUUUUAAAUUUAGUUUUAAGUCUUUGAAUUAUUUUUUAAGUGAUGACAUCCUUAUGUUAAAGUAUAUGAGAAUCUUGUACAUAGUUUUAGUCCCUGUUGAGGAUGGGAGGGGUUUGUUUAAACCAGCUGCAUUCAACCUUGCCCUGAUAGCACUAUUCCUUAACCACUCAUCAUACUAUUUUCAUGGGAAGUCAAGGGUUAACAAAUUUAUUAACGCAAUUUAAAAAAAAAUAAGACACCAAACCUUUUAAGUUUUUAAAUAUUUAAACUAGUUAAUAUAUUUUCAAGCAUUUAAUAGUUUGUACAGAAAUACAUAACACAAACUGACAUUUUUUAUAUCUAGGUUUAAAAAUUUCAAGCUUGUUGGUAUCACAAUAUGAAACUUGCAUAUAUCUGGUGGGUUGAUUCAAGUAUUUUAUGAUUCCCCAAGUAUUGUUUUAAUUUAUUGUAAAGUAUGUAAAUAUUUUUUCUUUGUGUCAGUUAAAAAGUUGACUGUUUAUAAAUGCUCUUAUUUCUGAUAUACGUUAUAAGUCAAAACUGUCGUAUGUAAACACCAGUUUUAUGUAAUUAAAUUAAAACGACUUCUGUUGAAUACAUUUGUUUCUUCUAGCUUGGAAUGUUUGUUAAUUAAUAUCUAACCUACUUAGACUGAUCCUGACUCUGUUUUCUUGUUAGUAGCAUCGUUACCAUUCUUAUAGUAUCAGUUUUCAUAUGGGGAAUUCAACUGCUAAAAAUACUUAGUGAUAUUAUGCUAACAUUAAGGAUGUUUGAAUACUAAUACAGUUUUAGAACACUGUAGUGGUAAAACAUUUGUUCUUUCACUGUGAAUAGGGUAAGUUCUAUCAAUAUUUCUGUAAUACAACUCACUUAUCAAUACAUUGAUGUCAUUUAGAUCUAGAUAAUUUUAAUUGAAUUAUGAAUCCAUUGUGAUUAGGGUAGGACUCAACACACAGAUAAUACACACCAGUAAAAAUCUUCUCUCGGAAUAAAACUUAAACAGCAAUAAAAAUCAUACCCUCAGUUUAAAUCUUAAACACCAAUAAAACAUACCCGCGAAAAUCUUACCCACAGUUUAAAUUAACACACCAAUAAAAUUCCACACAAUGAAGUCCUACAUGAUAAAGAAAGAACAAUUGCUAAUUGUGGUAUUGUCCCUUUCUGUAUCCAAUACAUCUGUUUUUUAAUAACACUUCUCAGGAAUCCUGAAAAUGCACAGAAGUUAUAAAGAGCUAUUUGUUGGUUUGUUAAUGAGCUUUGUCUCCUUGGAUGCCCAACUUAAUGUCCAACUCUUUGACUGGUUGAUUCUAUUUCACUCACAUCCAACUUUUAGGCUGUUUGUUUUCUAUUUCACAUGUGGUGUCAUUUCAUCUGCACCCUGCUCGUUACCUUGUUUAUAUCUUAUUAUUGUCAUGUUAACUCUGAGCUAAAAAUCAACUUAGUCAAUUCUUAGUCUUGAUUCCCCCAAUCACCAAAGACAGCUAAAAAUCUGGCCAGUACUAAAAUAAAUCUCAAUUUAAAAAUAAAAUUAAUUGAAUGUUAUUGUUUAACUUUGUUUAAAGGUUAGAUGACCACUGCAUAGCUUUUGGCUAGACCUUUUAGAAUAAGAUGCCUACUCCAUAACUUUGACUAGACUAAUUU